rnacentral:lncRNA from 1 species
GGUUUAGGGUUUAUAUUUGUGUUAGGGUUUAGUGAUUAGAGUUUAGGGUUUAGUAUUUAGAAGGUGAGAUGAUAUGGUUGGGGUAACAUUAGAUUCUUCCAUGCAAUCAUAGACAUUUCAUAAUUUCAACAAUAUGCACUAUGUUAUUUAUUUUGUUUCAUUAUAUUUGAGUUUAGAGUAUAUAUUUUGGUUUAGGGUUUAUAUUUGAUUAAAAGUUUAGUGAUUAGAGUUUAGGGUUUAGUAUUUAAAAAGUGAGAGGUAUGGUUGGGGUCAUCAUUAACUUCUUCAAUGCAAUUAUAGAUAUUUCAUAAUUUCACCAAUAUGUACUAUGUUAUUUAUUUUGUUCCAUUCUAUUUGGAUUUUGGGUUUAUAGUUUAUAUUUGAAUUUAGGGUUUAGUGAUUAAGGUUUAGGGUUUAGUAUUUUAGGAUUGGGGUAAUGUUUAGUAUUUAGAGGUUGUGAAUGUAGUUAUAAUUUAUAUUUGAAUUUAGGUUUAGUGAUUUGGAUUUAAAGUUCAGUAUUUAGGUGUUGGAAUAAUCUUUAGUAUUUAGGAGUUGUAUAGUGAUUGGGAUUUAGGGUUUACAAUAGAGGUUAUGAUAAUGUUUAGAAUUCAGGUCUGUGAGUGAAAUUAUUAUCCUAUACUAUUUUGGUGAUAUGGAAUAGAAUAUUUGAUGUAUAUGUAUGUGGUUAAUAAAUGUGUUACGUGAAUGUGAUUGUAAAUACGCCACAGGAAAAACGACGUCGCCUAUUUUCUCACUUGCAACUGGAUACCUGUUAAACAAAAGGACAUAACCGGAUGAUUUGAGGUAUAAAUGUCUGACAGUAAAUUAUGUCAAAAUCAUUGCCAUACACCUAAUUUAUCUUUCAAAUAUGGCUAUUACACAAAUAAGCCCUUCCCGUAAUCUGACAGCUUAGAAAAUAAAAGUAACACUGAACAACAAACAUCAUGGUAAUAAAUAUCUAAUGGCGGCACACUCAUUGACCGUCCGUAAUCGAUCUCGUGAUACCCAUAGACGAUAAAAAAACAAGUGUUUGCCUUCACCUAAUAAGGCUUGGGCAUGUUGUACAUGAACAUGUCCUGUAGCGGAAACAGCUGAUUGCUCCCUCCUCCUCCCCCGAACGCGGUGGCAUCUAUGUAAUUAAACCCAAAAUCAAGGCUACUUUUCUCACCCGACCAAUCCUUCCACUUGGGCUCGCUCUGAACCUCGCUCGUGAACUCCGGCGACACCACCUGCUCCGAGCAGCUCGACUCCGUCGUAUGCAGCUUUGGCACCGAGUCCGACGUGUCAAAGUACACGAAAUCAUUCGGCAUCACCGGCGGCGGAGGCAUGCCCAUCUCCGACAGCCUCGGCUUCUCCUCCACGACCUCGUCGCCGUAAACAACCGGAGUUGGUGGUGGUCCUCGCUUCUCGAUGGCUCCUUUUUUGUUGUAAAUCCGACAAAGAACCCAAUCAUCCAGCUGCAAAAAUUAAUUAACACCCGGUCCGAUUAAUAAAAAAUUAACAAACAAAACAAAAAUGGAAAAUUAGAUGUAAUUCAAUUACCCUGAGACUAUUCUUCUUCUUGCGAGCAGCCGAUGAUCGGUCAACGUCGGCAAGACGGUACUCAUGCAUGAUCCAAUUGGUUUUCUCACCCUUUGGAGCUUUCCCGGCGUAGAAAACCAGAGCCUUCUUAAUCCCAACCGGUUUAGGAAGUCCGAUCGGUUUAUCAGCUCCAGUAGCUUUCCAGUAACCCGAACCAGCUGACCGGUUCGGCCGAGAACCAUUCGGAUAUUUUCUGUCUCUUGGAGAGAAGAAAUACCAUUCCUUCUCACCGUACAAGGCUAAACCUGAAACAAACCAAAAAAAAAAUCAUCUCAGAUUUACUAGAUUCCCUAAAACCACCACUUAAAAUAGAUAAUCUGAGAAUUAAAAAAAAAAAAGAAGGUACAAACCGGGAAGCUCCCAAGGAUCAUAUUUGUAGAGAUCGAUCUCAGCGAUGAUGGGGACGGCGAUGGACUGAGAGGCGCAUUUGCGGCAGAGAUAGUGCAUCACCAGCUCUUCGUCGGUUGGGUGAAAUCGGAAUCCUGGAGGCAGCUGUAGUUCUGACAUUUUCUUUUCUAUUCGAGGAUCUGUCUCUAGUAAUAUAAUCCUAAUGAAAUCCUCUGAAACUUGCCGUUUUGAAACUCGGAACGAAGGCGAGAAGAGUCAAAUAUAUAAGGAGAGGGGGAUGGACACGUGUCGGAAUCUGGUACUUGUGUAGGCGGAGCAGAAGAGCUUCUAGAACACACGUGGGUGGAUGACGCUGCCGGGACACGUUUCGAGAGGAGAAGUCUGUUGCUGACGUGGCGAUGAGUUUGAUGCUGUCACUGCUUACGUUUUUCGUGUAGAGGGGAGUGGGGUCCACUCAGUUCCAAAUCCAACCGGUCCGAUACGACCGAACCACGAUGGGGUCUAUCUCUGUGGAUUCUUCGUUUCCGGUCGGUGGAUCUGUGGUCCCCCUUUCUCCCGUAAUUUACUAAUUUCUUUUCUUUUCUUUUCUUUUCUUUUUUGUCUUUUUGCAAAAGGUUCAUAGCAUAUAUUAAAGCGGUAAACUAAAAGUGGACCGGACCGUAAGAGACAGAUCCAAAAUUACUCUUAAUACUGAAAAAAGGAUUCAGGCCCCCCCCCCCCCCCCCCCUCAGUCUACUCUUAAUCAAUGCUGGGCUGUUCGGCCCGCGUGCCAUUCCCACAACGAAUCGACCAAAAUGUCAUUUUCUCGUAACCGUACAAUAUUGAAUUUAAUAGUGUAACUAGAUCAUGACCCGCGCGACCGCGCGAGUUUUAUUUUUGUUUUAAUACAUUUCGAGUUUGUCCAAUUCUUUUUUUGUGUUUAAAGAACAAUAUUAAAACUGUGUUUUGUAUUAGUAGUUUUUCAUCGGUGUAUUAGAGAUAUAACCGUGCAGUGAAAACACUCACAUAAUAUUAAGUACGAUUUGGAUCAAAAAAACUGUGUAUUAUAGAUGUACUGUGAAACACUAACCUAAUAGUAACCAAUACGAUUUGGAUUAACAUAUCUAUGUAUUAUAAACAUAAACAUAAGGUGAAAAUACUAAUCUAAUAUUAACCAAACAUCCCUGAAGUCUUCAUUAUAAUUCUAAUAAAAUAAGUGUAAUAAUAAGAUAGAUAAACAAAUGCGUAUAUUUUUAAAAAGAUAAUUAAUAGAUUAAUCCCAUUUGGAUAUAUAAAUGUUUAAAUUGUUAGAUAUAACAAUUUAUUUGGUCAAGUAAUUUAAAUAAAGUGUACUAAUCGAAAAAAAAUAUAGUUUUAAUUUUUUUUAUUAAUAGAACAGUAUUUUCAAUGUGUAUGCAAGAAUUCCAAUAAAUAAAGAAAAACAAUGUGUUUGGUUAAAAAAUUAAGUGCAAUAAUAAAAUUGUUUUUGUUUUAUAUUUAACGGCAAUCUAACUAUUAUGAUCCAUAAAGGAAAAUUUUAUUGUAAAUGCACAUGUCCAUAUCAAAACAAUAAACCCAUUAGUAACAACAAUUGUCCAGGAAAAGAAAUAAUAAAAACGGUUACCCUUUAUUUUAUUUUUUUUGCUUUAUUUUUUCUACAGACAUAAACAUUUUAGUGGGAGGUAAUGAAUAUUUCCUAACCUCUUAAGUUAGGUAUAAUAAAUACAAAAUCUCAUGAUUUUAUUGAAACCGAGAUUUUAGGUGUAGUGGAAUAAACUUGGAGAAGGGGGUUUUCCAUAUUAAUGAUUUUAAAAUCUGGCAAAUCGAUUUUGACGGAGAAUUUUAAAUCUCCAUAUUUGAUUGUUACCGAGAUUUUAGGCAUAGAAUGCACAACUUGGGGAAGGGGUUUUGUUAUAAACGUUUUUUUGUAAGUAUAAACUGAUGUUUCUGUUAUUGAAAUAAGAAUAUACGGGAAUAUAUUAUAUUUAGUGUACAUUAAAAUCAAAUCCGGAGAUUUAAAUUUAAAUUAUACGACCAUAUGAAGUUUUUAAAAUAUGAAGUUUUUAAAAAUAAAAUGACUACUCAAUGUUGCUAACCCAUCAAUGUGAUACAGACCAUAGACAGUUUUUAAAAUAUAAUGACAAACAAUGAUUUAGAUAUACGACCAUAUGAAGUUUUUUAUAAUAUAAUAACUACUCAAUGUUGCUUCCAUCAAUGUGAUAUGGACCAAUGUAAAGAGAGGGUUGUUAUAUAUUGUAAUAUGAUAUAAUAUAAGUACGACACUGUGAGUAUAUGUAUAUAUGUUAAUGUUUCACAUUAAAGCUAAUGUGACAAUAAAAUAGAUAUUUUUUAAUAGAUGUUUUUUCAAUAAUGUGACGAAAUAAUAUAUGUAUAAUAAUAGAUGUAUAAUGUGAACAUAUAAUAAGAUAGAUCUUACGGUGGAUUUAAAUCGAGAUAUGGUGGAGUUAAAUGAUAAUUGGUUGAUAUUGAACUGAUUAAGGAAAUAUUUAAAUGUAAGGUUACAUUAAGAAUAAUAAUGUGAUGUCCAACUUUAAAAUCUACCUAGAAAAAGUUGUAAUGUUUCUGUUUUAAUAAGAUAGAUGGCAUUCCAUAGUAAAUAUUAGGUAAAAGUAAGGGUUAAGUAUUAAUUGUACUUCACUUUUAAUAGAUUAGAUAUGAAUACAUGGCAUCAUCAUAACACAUGCAAACCGAAUCAUACCAAAGAUAUGGGGUAACAUCAAUCUUAUUAUUACCAAAUGGUUUUUCUAAUGUCUUCAGUAUAUAUUUAUUCUUCUUUAUUCGCCGCAUCUUAAACUAACAAUGAGCCAAAUCAGAGCUUCGACGUCACGGAGGGUUUAGGAGGUCUUGCCUCUCUUAACAAGGCCUCUUGCGUUAACGAUACAACCAGCUGUUUCACAUAUCCAAAAAAGAUAAUAAGAAUUACAUAUUUUUUCCUUUUACAUCCCCUAAAUAAACAUUUAGCAAUUCAAAGUUUUGACGCUUUGAACAAGAAUUAUAUCAUAUGUCAAAAUCAGUGUUCUCAGAUUAAUAUAGUUACUUAAAAAAAGAUACUAGUAAAGAGUGCCUACCUCUCCUUUUCGGUUGAACAUUUCACCAGUGACAAAACCCCUGGUCAUGUGCGCAGUUGGACUAACAAUCUGCAGCAAUAAUCAUCGUUGUAAGAGGGUCAAUGUUAGACGCCUAACAUGUCUAUUAACCUAUUUCAUCAAACAUGUCUAUUAGAGACUUCAAUUUUUCUUAGAUAGAGAAAAAGCUACCACAAAAAGCAACCAGUCAUCAGCUCUUAGAGGUCGGUGAAACCACAUCCUGCAACCCCCCAAAAAAAAGAGGAAAAGCAAGUAAGUAAUAAUUACUGACUGGAACUCCCUAUCAGUGUAAUGUAAUCAAAUAAAUAAAACUCAUAUUUCACCAAGACAAAAUAAAAAAGCUUACGCAUG